rnacentral:sRNA from 1 species
UCUUGGUCAUUUAGAGGAAGUAAAAGUCGUAACAAGGUUUCCGUAGGUGAACCUGCGGAAGGAUCAUUAAUGAAUACACUGGAUGCUCUUUUUAGAGGUCCGACACUCAUUUACCUUCACACUGUGCACACACUUCUUUUUCACCCAUUUUAAACACUUUAGUAUAAGAAUGUACCAGUCUCUUAAUUGAGCAUAAAUAUAUAAUAAAACUUUCAGCAACGGAUCUCUUGGCUCUCGCAUCGAUGAAGAACGCAGCGAAUUGCGAUAAGUAAUGUGAAUUGCAGAAUUCAGUGAAUCAUCGAAUCUUUGAACGCACCUUGCACUCUUUGGUAUUCCGAAGAGUAUGUCUGUUUGAGUGUCAUGAAACUCUCAACCCCCCUAUUUUGUAACGAGAUAGGCGUGGGCUUGGAUUAUGGUUGUCUGCUGUCGUCAAGUCAGCUCAACUGAAAUAUACGAGCAACCCAUUUGAAAUAAACGGUUUGACUCGGCGUAAUAAUUAUUUCGCUGAGGACGUUUUCUUUAAAGUUAGUGGUGCUUCUAAUGCGUUAUAAUACAUCAUAAGCUUUAGACCUCAAAUCAGUCAGGACUACCCGCUGAACUUAAGCAUAUCAAUAAGCGGAGGAAAAGAAACUAACAAGGAUUCCCCCAGUAACGGCGAGUGAAGUGGGAAAAGCUCAACUUUAAAAUCUGGCGUCUUCGGCGUCCGAGUUGUAGUCUCAAGAAGUGUUUUCUGUAUCGGUCCGUGUAUGAGUCUGUUGGAACACAGCGUCAUAGAGGGUGACAACCCCGUUCAUGCCACGGAUACCUUUACUUUGUGAUACACUCUCGAAGAGUCGAGUUGUUUGGGAAUGCAGCUCAAAUUGGGUGGUAAAUUCCAUCUAAAGCUAAAUAUUGGCGAGAGACCGAUAGCAAACAAGUACCGUGAGGGAAAGAUGAAAAGCACUUUGGAAAGAGAGUUAACAGUACGUGAAAUUGUUGAAAGGGAAACGAAUGAAGUCAGACGUGCGUGUUGCAAUUCAGCUCUGGUUCGCCAGAGUGUAUUUUGUAAUUUUGCAGGCCAACAUCGGUUUUCUAAGUCGGAUAAAGGUUUGAGGAAGGUGGCGCUCCAGGGCGUGUUAUAGCCUCUUGCUGAAUACGAUUUGGGGGACCGAGGAACGCAGAGCGCCGCAAGGCAAAGGUUACGACCUUUUCGCUCUUAGGAUGUUGG